UACGAAGGGGGCUAGCGUUGCUCGGAAUCACUGGGCGUAAAGCGCACGUAGGCGGAUUGCUAAGUCAGGGGUGAAAUCCUGGAGCUCAACUCCAGAACUGCCUUUGAUACUGGCGACCUUGAGUCCGGGGGAGGUGAGUGGAACUGCGAGUGUAGAGGUGAAAUUCGUAGAUAUUCGCAAGAACACCAGUGGCGAAGGCGGCUCACUGGCCCGGUACUGACGCUGAGGUGCGAAAGCGUGGGGAGCAAACAGG
rnacentral:rRNA from 1 species